UAAUACGAAGGGGGCUAGCGUUGCUCGGAAUCACUGGGCGUAAAGGGUGCGUAGGCGGGUCUUUAAGUCAGAGGUGAAAUCCUGGAGCUCAACUCCAGAACUGCCUUUGAUACUGAGGAUCUUGAGUCCGGAAGAGGUGAGUGGAACUGCGAGUGUAGAGGUGAAAUUCGUAGAUAUUCGCAAGAACACCAGUGGCGAAGGCGGCUCACUGGUCCGGUACUGACGCUGAGGCACGAAAGCGUGGGGAGCAAACAGG
rnacentral:rRNA from 1 species